CCUACGGGGGGCUGCAGUGGGGAAUAUUGCACAAUGGGGGAAACCCUGAUGCAGCGACGCCGCGUGAGUGAAGAAGUAUUUCGGUAUGUAAAGCUCUAUUAGCAGGGAAGAAAAUGACGGUACCUGAUUAAGAAGCCCCGGCUACCUACGUGCCAUCAGCCGCGGCAAUACGUAGGGGGCAAGCGUUAUCCUGAUUUACUGGGUGUAAAGGGAGCGUAGGCGGCAGCGCAUGUCUGGAGUGAAAUGCCAGGGCUUAACCCCGGAACUGCAUUGGAAACUGUGCAGCUAGCGUGCAGGAGAGGUAAGUGGAAGUCCUGGUGUAGCGGUGAAAUGCGUAGAUAUUAGGAGGAACACCAGUGGCGAAGGCGGCUUACUGGACUGUAACUGACGUUGAGGCUCGAAAGCGUGGGGAGCAAACAGGAUUAGAUACCCCUGUAGUC
rnacentral:rRNA from 1 species